AAUUAAUAUUAAUCAAUAUAACAAAAAAUAUUUUAACCAUAUGGUCCUUUCGUACUAAUAUGGAUUAACAAUCUAAGGAUAGAAACCGACCUGGCUCACGCCGGUCUGAACUCAGAUCAUGUAAGAAUUUAAAGGUCGAACAGACCUAAUCAUUGGGCUCCUGCACCCAAAAUUUUUCUUAAUCCAACAUCGAGGUCGCAAUCUGCUUUGUCGAUAUGAGCUCUCAAAAACAAUUACGCUGUUAUCCCUAAGGUAACUUAAUCUUAUGAUCAUAAAUUAUGGAUCAAAAUAACAAACAUAAAUAAAUGAUAUAAUAAUGAAGAGUUUAUCUAUUCUUCAUGUCACCCCAACAAAACAUCAUCAUUAAAUAUAGAAAGACAAACAAAAAACUAUAUAAAAGUAAAAUGUCAAGCUCUAUAGGGUCUUCUCGUCCUAAAGAAGAAUUUAAGCCUUUUGACUCAAAAGUUAAAUUCAAAAAUUUAUUAAGAGACAGUUGAUUUCUCGUCAAGCCAUUCAUUCCAGCCACUAAUUAAGAGACUAAUGAUUAUGCUACCUUUGCACGGUCAAAAUACCGCGGCUCUUUAAAAAUACGCUCAGUGAGCAGGCCAGACCUCAAAAUAUAAACAAGAGGACAUGUUUUUGAUAAACAGGCGGAAAUCAAUUUUGCCUAGUUCCUUAUAAUAAGUUCACAGGGUAAAAAUUUCAUACAAAUAAAUAUACUAAUUCUAUCAUUAUUACAAAAAUUUUAAAAUUAAAUUAAUAAUCUUAAUAAAAAA